rnacentral:sRNA from 1 species
AAGAAAGCUAAUUUACAGAAAGCAAGUUUCCCAGAUCCACUGUUGCCAGCUUUCUUUCUUUCCUUAUCUUUGGCAAUUUCUCUGGCUCAGGCAUUGAAGAUGGAAAUGCUUGUCUCUUUUUAAAAGAAGCUGAAAAUGCCAAGCAAGAGGGUGAAACUAGAAUCCGACGAAAUGCUGAAAAGGAUUUUUGCAAGGAAUAUGAAAAACAAGUGAGAAAUGGAAGACUUUUUUGUACACGGGAGAGUGAUCCAGUCCGUGGCCCUGACGGCAGGAUGCAUGGCAACAAAUGUGCCCUGUGUGCUGAAAUUUUCAAGCGGCGUUUUUCAGAGGAAAACAGUAAAACAGAUCAAAAUUUGGGAAAAACUGAAGAAAAAACUAAAGUUAAAAGAGAAAUUGUGAAACUCUGCAGUGAAUAUCAAAAUCAGGCAAAGAAUGGAAUACUUUUCUGUACCAGAGAAAAUGACCCUAUUCGUGGUCCAGAUGGGAAAAUGCAUGGCAACUUGUGUUCCAUGUGUCAAGCCUACUUCCAAGCAGAAAAUGAAGAAAAGAAAAAGGCUGAAGCACAAGCUAGAAACAAAAGAGAAUCUGGAAAAGCAACCUCAUAUGCAGAGAUUUGCAGUGAAUAUCGAAAGCUUGUGAGGAACGGAAAACUUGCUUGCACCAGAGAGAACGAUCCUAUCCAGGGCCCAGAUGGGAAAGUGCAUGGCAACACCUGCUCCAUGUGUGAGGUCUUCUUCCAAGCAGAAGAAGAAGAAAAGAAAAAGAAGGAAGGUGAAUCAAGAAACAAAAGACAAUCUAAGAGUACAGCUU